rnacentral:rRNA from 1 species
AGAGAGAGACAUGCGCGCAUAUCAAUAAGCGGAGGAAAAGAAACUAACUAGGAUUCCCUCAGUAACGGCGAGUGAAGCGGGAAGAGCUCAAAUUUGAAAUCUUAAAGGUUUCCCUUGACGAAUUGUAGUUUAAAGAAGUGUUUUCUGUUGGAGUUUCGGUAAAAGUUCUUUGGAAUAGGACAUCAUAGAGGGUGAGAAUCCCGUAUUUGACCAUUACUUUCCAGCUGUGUGAUACACUUUCAAAGAGUCGGAUUGUUUGGGAAUGCAGUCCAAAAUGGGUGGUAAAUUUCAUCUAAAGCUAAAUAUUGGCGAGAGACCGAUAGCGAACAAGUACCGUGAGGGAAAGAUGAAAAGAACUUUGAAAAGAGAGUUAAACAGUACGUGAAAUUGUCAAAGGGAAGCGUUUGACACCAGUGUUGUUUUUCGAAAAUCAAUUAAAAUAGGAUUUCGAUUGUAGGUAGUAUUGACCUUAUCAGGCUUGCUGCUUCGUUCUCGGAUUAUUUUGAUGCACUUUUCAGGUUAACAAGUCAACAUCAAUUUCUUUUGUUGUAAAAGGAUAAGAGGAAGGUGGCUUACGCUUCGCGUAAGUGUUUAUAGCCUUUUAUCCUCUGCAGUCGGAGAGAUUGAGGUCUGCAGCGUAGACUCUUCGGGGUUAGGUACAGCUUGUGCUAAGCUAUAGCCUUGUAUAGACAACAUUGUUGACUAUGCUCAGUCAUGUAGCUUACUCGCAUUGAUAGCUAUUUUACCUACGCUUAGGAUGUUGACAGCAGUAUAGACUGU